CAGCAGCCGCGGUAAUACGGAGGAUCCAAGCGUUAUCCGGAAUCAUUGGGUUUAAAGGGUCCGUAGGCGGUUUAGUAAGUCGGUGGUGAAAGCCCAUCGCUCAACGGUGGAACGGCCAUUGAUACUGCUAAACUUGAAUUAUUAGGAAGUAACUAGAAUAUGUAGUGUAGCGAUGAAAUGCUUAGAGAUUACAUGGAAUACCAAUUGCGAAGGCAGGUUACUCCUAAUGGAUUGACGCUGAUGGACGAAAGCGUGGGUAGCGAACAGGAUUAGAUACCCUGGUAGUCCACGCCGUAAACGAUGGAUACUAGCUGUUGGGAGCAAUUUCAGUGGCUAAGCGAAAGUGAUAAGUAUCCCACCUGGGGAGUACGUUCGCAAGAAUGAAACUCAAAGGAAUUGACGG
rnacentral:rRNA from 1 species